CAUUAUGGUGGGGCGUAGCGGGGGAGCCGAAAGGUUCACCGGUUUCUUUCGUUCCGGUCUACUAACCUUGUUACGUCUCACCACCCCG
rnacentral:antisense_RNA from 1 species